rnacentral:rRNA from 1 species
AAACGCUCGAUCCGAUCGGGUAGUAGGUAAGCGAUGGGGUGACGCAGGAAGGUAGUCCAGCCCAGGCGAUGGUUGUCCUGGGGUAAGCAUGUAGGGCGGAACGUAGGUAAAUCCGCGUUCUAUUCAGCCUGAGAUGUGAUGCCGAGCCGAUUGUGGUGAAGUGGAUGAUCCUAUGCUGCCGAGAAAAGCCUCUAGUGAGUGUUGUGGCGGCCCGUACCCUAAACCGACUCAGGUGGUCAGGUAGAGAAUACCAAGGCGAUCGGGUGAACUGUGGUUAAGGAACUCGGCAAAUUGCCCCCGUAACUUCGGGAGAAGGGGGACCUCUGCUGGUGAUGGGCUUUACGUUCUGAGCUGGUGGGGGUCGCAGUGGCCAGGGGGAAGCGACUGUUUACUAAAAACACAGGUCCGUGCGAAGUCGUAAGACGAUGUAUACGGACUGACGCCUGCCCGGUGCCGGAACGUUAAGGGGACCGCUUAGCCAACGCGAGUUGGCGAAGGUGAGAACUUAAGCGCCGGUAAACGGCGGUGGUAACUAUAACCAUCCUAAGGUAGCGAAAUUCCUUGUCGGGUAAGUUCCGACCUGCACGAAUGGCGUAACGACUUCCCCGCUGUCUCAACCACAGACCCGGCGAAAUUGCACUACGAGUAAAGAUGCUCGUUUCGCGCAGCAGGACGGAAAGACCCCGGGACCUUCACUACAGCUUGACAUUGGCGUUUGGAACGUCUUGUGUAGGAUAGGUGGGAGACUGGGAAGCUGUCACGCUAGUGAUGGUGGAGUCAUUGGUGAAAUACCACUCUGGUCGUUUUGAACGUCUAACUCUGGUCCGUGAUCCGGAUCGGGGACAGUGUCUGGUGGGUAGUUUAACUGGGGCGGUUGCCUCCUAAAGAGUAACGGAGGCGCCCAAAGGUUCCCUCAGCCUGGUUGGCAAUCAGGUGUUGAGUGUAAGUGCACAAGGGAGCUUGACUGUGAGACUGACAGGUCGAGCAGGAGCGAAAGCUGGGACUAGUGAUCCGGCAUCGGCGUGUGGAAGCGGUGUCGCUCAACGGCUAAAAGGUACCCCGGGGAUAACAGGCUGAUCUUCCCCAAGAGUCCAUAUCGACGGGAUGUUUUGGCACCUCGAUGUCGGCUCGUCGCAUCCUGGGGCUGGAGUAGGUCCCAAGGGUUGGGCUGUUCGCCCAUUAAAGCGGUACGCGAGCUGGGUUUAGAACGUCGCGAGACAGUUCGGUCCCUAUCCGCUGCGCGCGCAGGAGACUUGAAGGGGGCUGUCCCUAGUACGAGAGGACCGGGACGGACGAACCUCUGGUGUGCCAGUUGUACCGCCAGGUGCACGGCUGGUUGGCUACGUUCGGAAGGGAUAACCGCUGAAAGCAUCUAAGCGGGAAGCUCGCCUUGAGAUGAGGUCUCCCACCCCGUGAGGGGGUAAGGCUCCCGGUAGAUCACCGGGUUGAUAGGCCGGAGGUGGAAGCACGGUAACGUGUGGAGCUGACCGGUACUAAUAGGCCGAGGACUUGACCAC